GCCAGACCUGACUGCUAUCGGAUUGAUACUAAGCCAUGCGAGUCAUUGUAGUAAUACAAGGCAUACGGCUCAGUAACGCGUAGUCAACCUAACCUAUGGACGGGAAUAACCUCGGGAAACUGAGUAUAAUUCCCGAUAGAACAUUAUGCCUGGAAUGGUUUAUGUUCCAAAUGAUUUAUCGCCGUAGGAUGGGACUGCGGCCUAUCAGUUUGUUGGUGAGGUAAUGGCCCACCAAGACUAUUACAGGUACGGGCUCUGAGAGGAGUAGCCCGGAGAUGGGUACUGAGACACGGACCCAGGCCCUAUGGGGCGCAGCAGGCGAGAAAACUUUGCAAUGUGCGAAAGCACGACAAGGUUAAUCCGAGUGGUUUCUGCUAAAGGAACCUUUUGUUAGUCCUAGAAACACUAACGAAUAAGGGGUGGGCAAGUUCUGGUGUCAGCCGCCGCGGUAAAACCAGCACCUCAAGUGGUCAGGAUGAUUAUUGGGCCUAAAGCAUCCGUAGCCGGCUCUGUAAGUUUUCGGUUAAAUCUGUACGCUCAACGUACAGGCUGCCGGGAAUACUGCAGAGCUAGGGAGUGGGAGAGGUAGACGGUACUCGGGAGGAAGGGGUAAAAUCCUUUGAUCUCUCGAUGACCACCUGUGGCGAAGGCGGUCUACCAGAACACGUCCGACGGUGAGGGAUGAAAGCUGGGGGAGCAAACCGGAUUAGAUACCCGGGUAGUCCCAGCUGUAAACUAUGCAAACUCAGUGAUGCAUUGACUUGUGGUCAAUGCAGUGCUGCAGGGAAGCCGUUAAGUUUGCCGCCUGGGAAGUACGUACGCAAGUAUGAAACUUAAAGGAAUUGGCGGGGGAGCACCACAAGGGGUGAAGCCUGCGGUUCAAUUGGAUUCAACGCCGGAA
rnacentral:rRNA from 1 species